GGGCUCGUAGCUCAGGGGAAGAGCACCACGUUCGCAGCGUGGGGGCCGCGGGUUCAAAUCCCGCCGAGUCCA
rnacentral:tRNA from 1 species